rnacentral:rRNA from 1 species
GACGAACGCUGGCGGCGUGCUUAACACAUGCAAGUCGAACGAUGAACUUGGAGCUUGCUCUGGGGGAUUAGUGGCGAACGGGUGAGUAACACGUGAGUAACCUGCCCUGGACUCUGGGAUAACUUCGAGAAAUCGGAGCUAAUACCGGAUAGGACCUUGCACCGCAUGGGGUGGGGUGGAAAGUGUUUCUGUUUGGGAUGGACUCGCGGCCUAUCAGCUUGUUGGUGAGGUAAUGGCUCACCAAGGCGUGGACGGGUAGCCGGCCUGGGAGGGUGACCGGCCACACUGGGACUGAGACACGGCCCAGACUCCUACGGGAGGCAGCAGUGGGGAAUAUUGCACAAUGGGCGCAAGCCUGAUGCAGCAACGCCGCGUGCGGGAUGACGGCCUUCGGGUUGUAAACCGCUUUUAGUAGGGAAGAAGCCUUCGGGUGACGGUACCUGCAGAAAAAGGACCGGCUAACUACGUGCCAGCCGCCGCAGUAACAC